GUCGAACGGAACCUUCGGGUUUUAGUGGCGAACGGGUGAGUAACACGUAAGCAACCUACCCUAAAGACGAGGAUAACCAUUGGAAACAGUGGCUAAGACUGGAUAGGAAGAUAAAAGGCAUCUUGUAUCUUUUAAAAGACCUAGUUAAUAGGUAUGCUUUAGGAGGGGCUUGCGCCAUAUUAGUUAGUUGGUAGGGUAAUGGCCUACCAAGACGAUGAUGUGUAGCUGGACUGAGAGGUUGAACAGCCACAUUGGGACUGAGACACGGCCCAAACUCCUACGGGAGGCAGCAGUAGGGAAUUUUCGGCAAUGGAGGAAACUCUGACCGAGCAACGCCGCGUGAAUGACGAAGUACUUCGGUAUGUAAAGUUCUUUUAUCGAGGAAGAAAAGCAAAUGGCGAACCAUUUGUUUGCCGGUACUUGAUGAAUAAGCCCCGGCUAAUUAUGUGCCAGCAGCCGCGGUAAGACAUAAGGGGCAAGUGUUAUCCGGAAUUAUUGGGCGUAAAGGGUGCGUAGGCGGUCUAGUAAGUCAGUGGUGUAAUGGCAACGCUUAACGUUGUCCGGCUAUUGAAACUGCUAAACUUGAGUUAGAUAGAGGCGAGUGGAAUUCCAUGUGUAGCGGUAAAAUGCGUAAAUAUAUGGAGGAACACCAGAGGCGUAGGCGGCUCGCUGGGUCUUAACUGACGCUGAGGCACGAAAGCGUGGGGAGCAAACAGGAUUAGAUACCCUGGUAGUCCACGCCGUAAACGAUGAGUACUAAGUGUCGGGUUAAACCGGUACUGAAGUUAACACAUUAAGUACUCCGCCUGAGUAGUACGUACGCAAGUAUGAAACUUAAAGGAAUUGACGGGACUCCGCACAAGCGGUGGAUCAUGUUGUUUAAUUCGAAGAUACCCGAAAAACCUUACCAGGUCUUGACAUGUUUUUGCAAAAUGAUAGUAAUAUCGUGGAGGUUACCAGAAACACAGGUGGUGCAUGGUUGUCGUCAGCUCGUGUCGUGAGAUGUUAGGUUAAGUCCUAAAACGAGCGAAACCCUUAUCGUUAGUUGCCAGCACGUUAUGGUGGGGACUUUAACGAGACUGCCAAUGAUAAAUUGGAGGAAGGUGAGGAUCACGUCAAAUCAGCAUGCCCCUUAUGACCUGGGCUACAAACGUGAUACAAUGGCUGUUACAAAGGGUAGCUGAAACGCAAGUUCUUGGCCAAUCCCCAAAAACAGUCCCAGUCCGGAUUGAAGUCUGCAACUCGACUUCAUGAAGUUGGAAUCGCUAGUAAUCGCGAAUCAGCAUGUCGCGGUGAAUACGUUCUCGGGGUUUGUACACACCGCCCGUCAAACCACGAAAGUUGGCAAUACCCCAAAACGGUAGCCUAACUCGUUUAUUCGAGAGGGCGCCGUCUAAGGUAGGGUCGAUGAUUGGGGUUAAGU
rnacentral:rRNA from 1 species